AGAACUUCAUGUGACUGACGGAGCAAGCAGGAGAACCUGCGGGAAGCAUGAGGAAUAGGAAAAGCCGACCGUCUGGGCAGCCGCA
rnacentral:ncRNA from 2 species